GGUGGUACAAUGCCCGGGAACAGCGCCGCGCGAACGCACGGGAAUCCGGUGAGACGCCGGAGCGGCCCCGCCACUGUGACCGGGACGAAACCGCAGAGGAGCCACCGGGGGCACCCCCCGGGAAGGCGCGGGAGUAGGAGGAACGGAAGCCAGGAGACCGGUUCGCGCAAGGUUCGGGAA
rnacentral:ncRNA from 1 species